UUACACCAAGAUAACAUUAAGGUUCUCAAAGCUUUGAUUUACUGCAAGGGUGAUCCAUUGCCACUGUUUGAUGGUUCUACCAAACAAAGGGUUAGCAUAGAUUAUGCUAUUACUUCAUUUAACACCUAGUAAAUAUGUAUUUGAAUCAACCAAUCUAUAAUUCAUAAUCAUUUUUCUGUUCAACUCAAGGUAUUUUAUCUGUUUCAGGCAGUGAGGUAUUGAGGAAGAAAAUUGUGCUGCUUUACAUAAUAGACCUACACCAUAUAUCUGACCAAUUAUUUGAACCGUACUUUUUGCUUCGUUCAAUCGCAAAUCCGCAAUUCUGCAAAUAACUUUUUUACUGCUUUGAAAUCUACAGUUCUGUAAUGGACAGUUUUACUGCUCAAUUCUGCUACUCAACAAUCCACAAUCCAUUAAUGUCAAGGUUCUAGUUGAAUAUUGUCUGAUCAGAUUAGUCUCUUUGAGUGAAAGUAAGCAAAAUAGCGUUGGUUGUUGCGGUUUGGAAUCUAGUUUUUGCUUCUUUCAUGCAGGAGCUAUCUUAUAGUCUGCAUCUAGAAACAUGUUAAUGAAUGUUGUUUGGUCUGCGGAAGUUGUGCUGCAACUUGGCUUUCACAAGACAUUCAGUGGCACUUCAUUGUCCAUUUACAAAUGUACAACAGAUUCAAUCUAUCAAAACAAUGUAAUUGCUUAGAUUUAUGAAGUUCGGUCUUAAAUUUAGAUUUUUUUAUCAGCUCUUGCUGCAU